UAGGCUCCCAAAGGCACGUG
rnacentral:snRNA from 1 species